GUUUGAGUAAACAGUAAUAGCACGUGCAGCGGCAGCCUCCCCCGGGUACUAAUGCCCGUUCUGUAAGAAGUUUUAAUUCCGUAGGGGGCGCUGUUGGCCUACUUCUAAUAAAAUGAAAGUAAA